AUCCUUUAGUCUAUACUAUAAGCGAGAAGGGCUCCCAGGUUUUGGUCAUGUUUUACUGUUCAAAAUGGUUCCAAAACGACUACUUUUUGUGCGUUUUGGCUUUUCUUUUCCUUGUUUUUUUACUAUUCAACAGUUGCCAUACUGGUGAGAUCCACAUUUUAUGCUUUUUUUUUUAUUUUGCCAUACGGGUGUCAGGGGUUGUGGUAUGACAUGCAUUAUGGUUAUGAUGACUUACAGUAUGGUAAGGAUAGAGUUGGUGUACUUUAUACAAAAUUCUUGACUUCAUUAUUGUACUUCAGAAAAGACUUUGCCUUACCAUCUUUUCUCUCCCCCUACUCUCUUUAUCAGUGACGAUAAAGAACAUGAGGAUUGUGUUAUUCACUACAAAAUUGCAAAAUGGUUAGAGAAGUAAAGCUAAUCAAGGAUAUUCAAGCUCAACAAAGAGGUUGGACAGUAAAAGUGGUGAUUAUUGAGAAACCAAUGCCACGAGUUUCUAAAUCAAGUCCAAACAAAUAUCAAAGGUUAAUCUUAGCUGAUGAAGAAGGUAAUAAGAUCCAGGCCACAAUAUAUGGUGGAGACAUCCACAUCUUCCGAGACACACUCAUAAUUGGGAAAAAUUAUUAUAUUUCUAAUGCUUGGGUUAAAGAAAUUGGUGCACAAUAUCAGAUUGUUCAAAAUAAUUUGCAAUGGACUAUAAAUGGUCGAACCAUUGUGGAAGAAGUGACUGGAGAUUCAGAGAUAAUUGUGCCUGCUGUUUACAGCUUUGUCCCGUUCUCAUGACUACACACUUAUAUUGACUCUCUAUCCCACAUCGGUAUGUUUGUCUAUAUAGUCAAUUUGUUCAGCUAUAUUUUUAUAACUUUUCAUUUGUGAAUCUUUCUUUUUUUUAGGAUUCUGUUAAAGAUAUUGAAAAAAUUGCCACAUUAUCCAGUAGUCAUAAGCUUCUAAUUCAAGUUAAAGCAUCUAAACAUGAAUAUCGUGAUAUUACAAGAUGGAAAUACACAAUCCUUUCUGUUUGUGAUACUAUUUCAAAAGAAAUCAACACAUUAACACAAACAGAUACUUCAAAUGAUGCUGAAGUUAGUCAAGUUUUAGAAAUUGUUGAAGAGCAAAGUGGAAAAUCGUUAGGCAUAACUGAAUUGAGAGGUAUGAACAUGUUUGAUACAUUAUAUCCUAAGUGAAAUUACAUGAGCUUUUAUUUAAUGUUCUAAUGCAUAUAUAUUACAACUUUCAAAAUCAGAUAUAUCUGGAAGUGCUGACAAUGCUAAGAUAGAGCAAAUGAGCAAUGAAGAUAAAGUCCUAGCUGAUUUGGUUUCAAAGGCUACUGCAAGAAACAAUGCAACAAAGAAACUAAAGCUGAUGAUUUCCAAAAGUGCAGAUGAGGCAGAUCCAAUAGCGUUGAAUCUUGAAAGUUCUCAUUUACAAUUUGGUGAAGGGAGUAGGAAGCAGUUUGCCGAGCUUAAAGACAAUGCUUAAUUUGUUAUCAUGGGAACCAUCUUUUUGUUAAUGUGGACAUGAUAGAUUACUAUCAGUUCAUAAGUAGAUUAUUAUCAGACUUUUGUGAAUUUAUAGCAUAUUUAGACUAUACUAUGACAGUUACACUAAUAUUAUUAUUUUGUACAUUGCAAGAUGUAAUAGAAAUUGAUUUAGGUAUAA